ACGGUACCUGCAGAAGAAGCCCCGGCUAACUACGUGCCAGCAGCCGCGGUAACACGUAGGGGGCAAGCGUUGUCCGGAUUUAUUGGGCGUAAAGAGCUCGUAGGUGGCUGAGUAAGUCGGGUGUCAAAUCUUCAGGCUCAACCUGGAGCUCCACCCGAUACUGCUCUGGCUAGAGUCCGGUAGGGGAGCGUGGAAUUCCUGGUGUAGCGGUGAAAUGCGCAGAUAUCAGGAGGAACACCAGCGGCGAAGGCGGCGCUCUGGGCCGGUACUGACACUGAGGAGCGAAAGCGUGGGUAGCAAACAGGAUUAGAUACCCUGGUAGUCCACGCCGUAAACGUUGGGCACUAGGUGUGGGGUCUAUUCAACGGACUCCGUGCCGUCGCUAACGCAUUAAGUGCCCCGCCUGGGGAGUACGGCCGCAAGGCUAAAACUCAAAGGAAUUGACGGGGGCCCGCACAAGCAGCGGAGCAUGUUGCUUAAUUCGAGGCAACGCGAAGAACCUUACCUGGGUUUGACAUGUAGAGAAAAGCCGCAGAGAUGCGGUGUCCUUCGGG
rnacentral:rRNA from 1 species